UUUGCUAUCUACCCCCCAACUUGUGCCUCCCUCUCUACAGCCCCCAUAGCUCUGGUGUGUACACCCAGGGCCGCCCCGACCCGACAGAAUGCGCCCCCACAAGGCACAGAUGUCCCAGUCAGAAGAUCCCCGUGGACCUGGUUGCUGUCCCACUCUGUCCCUGACCGGCCGUGUGACAUCUGGCAUGACACCGCACCUCUCUGGGCUUGUCCCUCACCUGGAGCCCGAAGGAGCGGACCCUGCUGAUUCCCGAAAGCCCCUUCCAGUCUUUUCCUGAGUACUCUACCUGCACCAUUUGGAACCCUGUGGCCUUGAGAAGGCGUGGCCACACUCAGGAAUUAAGAAAAAAGCAAAACAGAAGAGGUGAAGAUUCAGAAGAGGGCGCCCAGGUACUUCAAUUUGCAAAAGCCCUGAUGCCAUCACCGAGGAUGCUUCUGGAAACAAAGGUGGCUCCUGCCAAGGCCCGCCACGGGCAUGGAGUCAAGAGACACAUCCCUGGGCAUGCGCCUUACUCGGCCACGCGGGCCCUGGAUGUUGCUUGAGCUCCAUUCACACUCAGAAGCUCCAGCUCCAGCUUCCUAGCUUCUGAUCAACACAGCCACCACCCAGAAUGUUCCCAGCCUUCAAGGCAAAAGGCCUGGGUCCAAGGAGCCACCAAGAGGCUGGGGGGCCUUGGACAACUCCGAGCCUUUCUGCGAUUCAUUCACACAUUUUAAAAUCAGCCCUGAUCUAGAAGGACGAAACUUAAUAAAAAGAAUGCCAACCCCAAGCGUCGGCGAGGGCGCAGAGCCCCUGGAAAUCCCGUACACUGCUGUGGGAAUGCAAAACGGAGCAGCCCGUCUGGAGAGCAGCCUGGUGGUUUCCUAGAAAGUGGACAUAUAUACUCACCAUAUGAGCCAACCAUCCCUCUCCCAGGUGUGUACCCGAGAGAACGGGAAAAAAAUGUCCACACAAAGUCUUAGGCACGAAUGUGCGUAGCAGCUGUAUCUACCAUAACCCCACACUGGAAGCAACCAAAGACCAUCCACAGGGGAUGGAGAGCAAACCACAGUACAUCCAUGGGGGGGGGGGGGUCACGACUCCC